GAAGGUAUAGCUCAAGUGGUGGAGCAUGUGCUUAGCAUCCACAAGGUCCUGGGUUCAAUCGCCAGCACCUCCA
rfam:Camelus ferus unplaced genomic scaffold scaffold595, whole genome shotgun sequence.